UAAACGACUCUCGGCAACGGAUAUCUCGGCUCUCGCAUCGAU
rnacentral:rRNA from 1 species